UCAAACCUCUGUUUUAACCAUUUCCAUAUAACAAAGGCACCUGAGCUAAGUACAGUGCAAAACAAGUUCGAGCAAAGUGACGCCCUUCUGACAUUCCUCCACCCUUCAGAACUUACAAACAGGGACUAGAAUUUUCAAACUACCAAAAUAUGACAUAGCCGAGGCAGACCAGUGUUCGAUUCUAACAAAAAGUAGAAAGAAAAGAUUAAUAUAUAAUGUCAAAUAGAGAAGUCGAAGCUUCAAGUUCAAUGUUGGCGCGUCCACCAUCAUUUGUAGGAACUCGUCCUAAAGGAGCUAGAGACCCCACUUAGAAGUAUGCCUAUCAAGGAUUGGAACCUAGUUCGGUUUUUUGCUUAAAUGUGAAAGAAUAUUUCAUGGAGGCAUAAUUGUCUCCAAUACCACCUUGCAGGCAUCAAUAAACAUGAUGCCAGGGGCUGUCCUAAGACAAUUGAAGAAAUAAAAAGAGAGAUGAAUGCCAUACUCACAAUUGUAGAAGAGAGAAAAUUGCCAAGGGAGAGGUCAAAGCUAGCCAUGCAAGCAGCCGUAGCUGCUUUUCAAGGUGCUUCAGUCAACCUUGAAGCAUAUGAACAAGCACUUCAGAGCAUAGUGGGCUCUCUUCGUGGCCCACGCAUGUGCAAAUCCACCACCACCAUGGGCACUGCUUCAUCUGCUUCUAGUAGAGCAUCAACACCAGUAGCACCAUCAUUGUCGACUCCUAUAGAUAACUAUUUUGUUCACAAAAACACACUUGGAGCACAACCAUCAUUGGAGGCAACUGGAUGGAAUAGGGAGGCACAUGAGCAUGCAGAUAUUGCAUUUGCUGAUUUUUGGUUGUUUAAUAACAUCCCUUUCAAUGUGGCAGACAAUCCUUAUUGGUUUAAUUUGGUUAUUGCAUGCACAGUUGUAGGAAAAGGCUACAAGGUACCUUCUCACACAGACUUGAGUGGGAGGUUGCUUGUGAAUGCAUCUGAGAGGGCAAAACAAGUGGUGGAAGAGCAAAAAAAUGAUCGAAAAAAAUAUGGCUGCACUAUUCUUUCUGAUGGGUGGACGGAUGGUAAAAACCGCACCAUUAUUAAUUUUUUGGUUUCUUUCAAAACUAAUGUGGUUUACUUGAAAUCAGUGGAUGCUUCCAACGUAGUGAAAAAUGUAGAAAAUUUGGCUCGAAUGUUGUAGUGAGUUGUCAUGGAGUUUGGAAUUGAAAAUGUGGUGCAAAUCAUAAUUGACAAUGCAACAACAUAUGUGGUAGCUGGUAGAAUCCUCCAAGAGAAACACCCCACACUUUUUUGGGCACCUUGUGCAACACAUGUCCUUGACCUUCUUUUGGAGGACAUAUGCAAACUUGAUUAGGUGACUCUAAUUGUAGAGGAAAGAAGGAUUGCAAAAUAUAUCUACAAACACCCUUGGGUUCUUAACUUGAUGAGAGAGCACACCCAAGGGAAAGGUUUGGUAAGAUUGGGUGUCACAAGGUUUGCAAUGAUUUUCUUAAUGUUGCAAAGCAUUCUUGGUUCAUCGACAACUUUGAAACAAAUGUUUGUGAGUCAAGCAUGGCUAAAUGCAACCUAUUCGAAGAAGCCUGAAGGAGAAAGUGUUGCAAGCAUAGUCUUCGACAACCUAUAUGCACAAAGAACUUCAAAGAUUGUGAAGUUGUCGGAGCCCUUAGUUAGAGUUCUCCGCUUGGUAGAUGGGGAACAAACACCAAUGGGGUGUCUUUAUGAGGCCAUGGAUAGGGCCAAGGAGGCUAUCAAAAGUUAUUACAAGGGGGCCACCUCAAAUUUGAUCCCAUAUGGGAAAUUAUUGAUAGGAGGUGGAACAAUCAACUCCACGAACCCAUCCAUGCAGUAGGAUACUUCCUCAACCCUUGCUUUGCCUACUUAGAUUCCUUCUCAAUUCCUAGUGGAGAGGUUAUGGAGGGCCGCACUGCAUGCAUUCAGAGGCUGAUGCUUGAUGUUGAAGUGAGAGACUGCAUUGUGGUGUAAUUGGAUGAUUAUAUAGAAAAAAGGGGUAAGCUCUUCUCUUUAGAUUUGGCUAAGAGAGGAAGAACUACUCAAA